CAGAAUUCUGCGAUAAAUCAUUCAAGUUUCUGCCCUAUCAGCUUUGGAUGGUAGUGUAUUGGACUACCAUGGCAGUCACGGGUAACGGAGAAUUAGGGUUCGAUUCCGGAGAGGGAGCCUGAGAAACGGCUACCACAUCUACGGAAGGCAGCAGGCGCGAAAAUUGCCCAAUCCUAACAUAGGGAGGCAGUGACAAGAAAUAACAACUCUCGACUUUGUUGAGAAGUGUAAUGAGGCUAAUUUACAAACCUUACCGAAAGCAAUUGGAGGACAAGUCUGGUGCCAGCACCCGCGGUAAUUCCAGCUCCAAUAGCGUAUAUUAAAGUUGUUGCAGUAAAAAAGCUCGUAGUUGAAAAUCUGGUUGUAUUGGGCUCCUGCACUCGAUGCGUGAGUACCAGCAGCCAUCCGCUUGCAAGUACAUGUCCUUCCUUAACCGGUAGGCUGUAUGAGUAAGCAAUUUACCUUGAGAAAAACAGAGUGUUCCAGGCAGGUUUGUCCGGAAUGCAUUAGCAUGGAAUAAUAGAAUAUGACUGAAGUCGAUUUAUUGGUUUGAGGCUUUAGUAAUGAUUAAUAGGAACAGUCGGGGGCAUUAGUACUUGUCAGCUAGAGGUGAAAUUCCAGGAUUUGACAAAGACUAACUGAUGCGAAAGCGUUUGCCAAGGAUGUUUUCAUUAAUCAAGAACGAAAGUUAGGGGAUCAAAGACGAUCAGAUACCGUCCUAGUCUUAACUAUAAACCAUACCGACUCGGAUUCAGAUGAAUAUUAAAGUUCAUUUGGGACCGUAGGAGAAAUCAAAGUCUUUGGGUUCUGGGGGAGUAUGGUCGCAAGGCUGAAACUUAAAGGAAUUGACGGUUUUGCACCACCAUGGAGUGGAGCCUGCGGCUUAAUUUGACCCAACACUGGGAAACUCAUCAGGGCAAGAAGAUUUUAGGAUUGACAGAUUGAGAGUUCUUUCUUGAUUGGUCUAGUGGUGGUGCAUGGCCGUUCUUAGUUGGUGGAGUGAUUUGUCUGGUUAAUUCCGUUAACGAACGAGACCUUAACCUGCUAACUAGUACUGCGUUCUCAAUCGCAGCUACUUCUUAGAGGGACUAUGUGAUUCCAUCACAUGGAAGUUUGAGGCAAUAACAGGUCUGUGAUGCCCUUAGAUGUCCUGAGCUGCACGCGCGCUACAAUGAUGCAUUCAACAAGCAUUUCCUGAUCCGAAAGGAUUUGGGUAAUCUUUUUAGGGUGCAUCGUGCUAGGGAUAGAUCUUUGUAAUUAUGGAUCUUGAACGAGGAAUUCCUAGUAAGCGCAAGUCAUCAGCUUGUGCUGAUUACGUCCCUGCAAAAUGUACACACCGCCC
rnacentral:rRNA from 1 species